rnacentral:rRNA from 1 species
GACGAACGCUGGCGGCGUGCUUAACACAUGCAAGUCGGACGGUAAGGCCCCAGCUUGCUGGGGUACACGAGUGGCGAACGGGUGAGUAACACGUGGGUGACCUGCCCCGCACUUCGGGAUAAGCCUGGGAAACUGGGUCUAAUACCGGAUAGGACCGCACCGUGAGGGUGUGGUGGAAAGUUUUUCGGUGUGGGAUGGGCCCGCGGCCUAUCAGCUUGUUGGUGGGGUAAUGGCCUACCAAGGCGGCGACGGGUAGCCGGCCUGAGAGGGUGGACGGCCACAUUGGGACUGAGACACGGCCCAGACUCCUACGGGAGGCAGCAGUGGGGAAUAUUGCACAAUGGGCGGAAGCCUGAUGCAGCGACGCCGCGUGGGGGAUGACGGCCUUCGGGUUGUAAACUCCUUUCACCAUCGACGAAGGUUUUCUGACGGUAGAUGGAGAAGAAGCACCGGCUAACUACGUG